rnacentral:piRNA from 1 species
UUGGACACUCUAGAGACACAUGAAGGAC